GACAGUAUGAAGUUUUUAACUCCUAAAAGAUAAUUUACCUAUAAUAAUUAUUCAUAUGACACUUCUAAUAAUUAAGAGAUUUUACCACAUUACAGGUAUUACACCAACUAUUUCACAUAGAUGAAAUUGUUAAGGUACUGCUGCAAUCUUAAAAGAAGGCUCUGUUAUUAUUACCAUCUUGGAAAUAAAGUAGUAGGAAAUCCAACAAAUAAAACUCAAGGACCUUGACCUUGCACAAGGUAACAGAAAUAUUAGAUGAGGUGGAUUUGAAUUUAAACAAUCACCCUACUCCUCGAAGAAUGGAAUGAGAUAUUUUAAAGGCAAAUUACAUACAAUUAAUAAGAGAAAGGCAAAGAAUUGAACUCUACUAGUUUUAGGCAAGUUAUUCUAGUAGAGCCUUACAUACACAUUUUAAAUUGUGCAAAUCAACAGUCAGCUUUUAAAAUGAAGGAUGCACUUGACUUUUAUUCUUCAGAGGUAAAGAAAUACACAGGAUGAAUAAAGUUGUCGGAAGUAUGCUGGUAUUUACUGUCGGCGGAGAUUAAAGUAAUUUGUUUCAACUUCUCACCCUCUGAAGGUCAUGUAUGAAAACCCCAAACAGAAUGAAAUUCUGCAACUGAAAUUCAAAGGCAUGUGACUUGUUUUACUGUACCUACCUGAGUGGAAAUAAGUUAUCAUUUUUGAGAUUCAAAGCAACAUUCGUGCAUUAUUUAAAUAAACAAACCAGAAAGUGUUCUCAUGCUCUUUCCUACUCCGUACACCCAUAAAAGCACUCCAAUUAUAAUCACCACCAUAUUAUCUUUCCUUUGGAACAUUCAGUACUCUGCUAAAUCAAAUAAGACCUGGAGAUAAAUAAAUUUGUGUGCAUUUUCAAUGCUUUUACAAAUACACUUGGGUUCCUGCUAGGUGCCUUUCACUAUGUAAGAACUUUAUAUGUAUUCAUUUUUUUUCUGUCAGGUUAAUGAAGACACUGAGCAAGCUGUAAUGGGCACCUCCAUGGAAGAACUACCUGAGGUUUUUGGAGUUGUGACAGUUUUCGUCUCCCUGAAUUCUCCCUGAGUUCCAGUCUGUGCUCCAUCUGCUUUAAACUGCUCCUCAUCAGCUCCCAAUGGGAAAUAGCAGUGUGACGAGGUCUCACUAUAAAAGGACUAAAAAUCCAACAAGAACAUACAGUUGUAUCACAGAAGCAAAGGAACUAACUCAAUGUUUCAACAUAAAAGAGAAAACGUUCGUCUACCUCUGGCCUAGGGUUGCUGGGCCAGGGACACUGUGCACACCCCUCUAUUGCAGUCCUGUGGGACAUCUUGGAAAAGCUGCCUGUCCCCUCACAGAGAAGCAGAGGAGAACUAUGAAGAAGGAUGCUCUGA